CUCGGUAGUCUCCUCCUUACCUCCAAAAAAACCCGGAGAAAAAGAAGACCUUAUCCCUGCGGUCCGCGCGCGCUGCGGGCGCAGCUGCGGCUGCGGCACCUGUUACGCCCAGUGAUUCACCCGGCCGUUUUCUGCUCCCCGCCCCCUUCUGACGCCUGCAGCGUCCGGGGCCGGGGCUCUGUGGGGGCCGGGACUCUGCAGGGACCGGGGUCGUGGCUACUUUAGAGCACGUUUUCCGAGCCCCACUGAACCCCAACACCCAGCCUAGCAGCAAAAGUGAAGCUUCCAGGAGAGCCACGUGCGUUUGCCAAAGUGGAGAAAUAAACUGCGGGCACCUAGAAUUAGGUCAGGUCCAAGGAACGGGAGGUUCAAGCGUCGGGAGUCGUGGAUGCAAACAAUCCAGCCGGGAGAAAGUUAUAUGUAAAAUUAGGGCGAAGAAAUGGAUCUGGGCAGAAGACCGCGGGCAAAGGAAAGACUAAGAAAUAGCAUUCGUGAACUCAGUUUAUGCAAAAAUGUCUUACACCCACUCGACAAAGUAUGUGCGAUGAAAAUGUAUGCCUGCUGCACCCGUGGCCAGGGUCAGGCUGUCUCCUCCCUGGUUUCAUGGCAGCCUAAAAUUCACUGGGGAAGAAAAGAAAAGAGGCCAGAGAAAGGAGAUCAGAUGGAGAAAUCACAGGCAUAUAGGUUACACAAAGAUGUUCUUUGAUUUUUGUUUUGUUUAGUUUUGGUGAAGCCAAGGGAUUUAUUCAAAAGGCGAAAAACAGGUUUGGUGUUUUAAGGAGACUCCUGAGAGCACUUUGAAACCAAAACAGUAUGAGUGAAGAUGCUAACACUGAAAAACAAGAGCGGGAGGAAUGUCCACCUCCCAGUUUGCAUGCACGUAUCCCCAAUCCUGGAUGAAAGAUCAGGGCCAGAAGAAGCACGCCACGGUGACAACUUCAGGGCCCAACGAAAUCCUCCUCUUUUCCUUUGGCCAAGCAAUCAGAGGCCCGUCUAGCUGCUGUUGAGCCCAGGGUCUCAAUGUGUUGCUCAGGCUGAAGUGCAGUGGUGCGAUCACGGCUCACUGCAGCCUCAAGUGAUCCUCAAGCAAUCCUCCCACCUUAGCCUCCCAAGUAGCUGGGGCUACAGGCACACACCACCAUGCCCAGCUAAUUUUUGUAUUUUUUGUAGAGACAGGGUUUUACCAUGUUGCCC
rnacentral:lncRNA from 10 species